UUUUCAGCCGAACCUCAUUCAGUUUUCAAACAACUGAUAUGAGGUUGGUGGUGAAGUCAACAGUCAGAAAUGAAAGAAAAAAAGCUGCUCAUCAGUGUCGCACUUGCCUGUGAAACUCAUGGUUGCAACAGAGCCAAGGUGGUUUUUAAACAGGCAGCUUAGCUCCAAAGAUAUACUGAAUAAGCAAGAGGGACCAACUGUUUGACCACAGAGGGAAUGCCUCUAGACCGAUAAGGAAGUGGAUGUCCAGAAAGAAAGACAGAAGGAGAAAAUCUACAGGCAGAAACAGGGAGGACAGUGGGCAAAUUGUGGUAAUGUUUCCCAUCUAGAACAUCGCUGAGCAGGAUGGAAUAUUCUGGACCACUGAUUUAAUGAAGAUUUUUAUUAGAUUCCACUUGCUUCUCCAAGAUUAGGGAAUUAAGAAAUGCAGUGAUAAGCACAGCAAAAGAGCUGAAAUGGGUAAAUGAUGGGGGGAGAGGCAGAGGGGAAGAUGUUAAUAUUUCUGUCCAUUUCCCUGGGAGAAUCCUGAUCUUGGCAGUCUGUGCAUAUGCAGUCCUGCAACAAGUGCAAAGGACACCUACCUCUGCACCCCUCACUAUGGCAAGGUAGAGCAGUUUGUGUCUGCAGCUGCACACUUGCUGCAUUGCUGGGAAUAACCUUUGCUGUCAUCCUGGCUGGGUGAUGUGGAGCUGCUGGUGUCUGUCCUCUGCUGUCUUUCAUGAGCCUGCUUAUCAAGUUUAUUACUUAUGUCCCUUGGCUGAGGUUGCUUUAUGUGCCUUAAAAUAACCACAUGGAAUAGGGGCAGAAAGAAGAAAUAUUUGAUGUUUAUCUGUUUAGAGACCCUGAGUGAUGACACCAAGGAUCCAGUAGUGUCGCACUAAAUUAUGGUUUCUGUUCUAUUAUUCAUAUUCUAAUGCCCUCCUGCAUUUUCAAACAAGGGCCAAGGCUUAAGUAGCAUCAAUUCUGUCUGGGUUCUUAGCUGAUUUUAAACUAAUUACUAUGGGAACAAAUGCAAUAUGAAAAUCAAGUAUUUGUUCUGAUUUUUAGCAUCUUGUAUCACUUAGCUCAUCAGUCAGUAAGAUCAUCAGCUGGUUCUGCUGCUUCACGAAAAGAAAACAGGCAACUUGCAUAGUGAGCCCCAUAUUAAAACACACAUUAAGAAAAUAAGUACAAGCGUGCUGACACAAGAGCAAACAGUGGGUUGCAGUAAAACACCAGUUUGUAAGUUGACAUGCUGUUUCUCCUGAUUGAGAAGUCAAUUUUACUGCAAACACUUCUGGAAAGUGAUUGAAGUAGGGAGUGGCUGAAUCAUGUCCAGCUAUAAUCCAUGAUAAACAUCCACACAAGAAUUAAAAUCCUCAUGUAAUAGUAUUGAUGAUCUCAAGUUUUUAGUUUCUUUUUGUACAGGCUGCAACCUGCAGCGUUAUGGGUGGCUCUUGAAAGAGGUUAGGGUGUAUCAGCCUUUGUCCACAGGGGCACUCUGUGGCAAACCCCUACGUUCCUGUUCCCAGCCCAUCCAGAUCACACAGCUGCCUGCAAGUGUUGUUUCUUGCAUUAUCUUGCAUGUCUGGAGAGCUGUUCAUUUGUUUGUUUUGCCCAGCACAGAAUAAAUUAUGAGGUCAGAUUACAACACCAAGUCAGGAUGCUCUCAGGGUGUGCAUCUGGAAUCUGCAAGCCCUCCCAAAUUCCCUUAUCUAAAUGGUGUCAUGGAAAAGGAAUGACAUGCCUCAAAAAUGUUGAAAGCUGCUGGAAGUGCCUGAAAUGGGUACGUGCACCAUGGGCGUGCUCAGGUGAUGCAGACUAACAAGUCACGGGUGAGGUAUCAGAAGAUUUCGGGUGUUUGCAGAUGUCAGAGCAGAAGACCAUGUGUCAUACGGCAGCCUGGGGAAAUGGGGACAGCUCUGUGUCCACCUAUGAGUAAAGGCUGCUUUAUGUACAUGUGGGAGAAGGGUAGAAGGACCCAAUGCAGCAACAUGAUCCAACGCUCUUGUACAAUCUUAUUACUCGGGUUACUCAUCAAGAUCUGGAUCCAGCUGCCCUGCCCUGAUUUCAGUUUUCAGUUCUGACAUGGGAUGGCUCCUUGUACAGCUCCCUGUGAACAGUCAGCCUGCAGGUCCUAAGGAGAGAUCAAACAUCGAGGUGAGCGUGAGCUUUCAUGGCAUUGGCAAAGCUGAACAUCACAGCGACCAUUAAUCUAAGAAUUCUCUGAAGCUGGAAAAACAAGACUAAAAAUGGAUCUCCAAGGAUUUUCAGAGGGAAAAUGAAGUUCUGCCUACUGGAGCAUCCUGGUUCAGGAAAGGAAGGGAGUACAGGAGGGAAAUCAGAAACAAAUAUGCCUCCUGAUCCUCCCUGGAUGUACUGUGUUCUCAGAAGAAUCCAGGAUUUGAAUUUACUUGCAGAGUUUUCUAGAAUCUUUCAAAAGACUCAAUUCAGGUAAAGUGUUCUUUUUCCUCUAAUAAAUAAUUUGGGAUUAUAGACUCCUUUUUAUUUUGAUGAGAGAA